rnacentral:lncRNA from 1 species
CAAAGGUUUCGAACAAUGAACUAGAAGAAGACAUUACCUUUGCACACGAUAGGAGAGCGAAUAAGCUACACAGAAAGAAGUCAGUUAAAACAGACUGUCUUUUAUUAGUCAUACCAAUCUAUGCAUCAAACGAUAUCUACAAGAAGACGGACACAAUCGAGCACGCUAGACCAAUUAGAAAGCUAGUUAUUCAGCAACUGUUCUUC